UUUAUUUUUUUCAUAAACCUUUUGUUUAUUGACCGGCGCCAUUUUGUGACGCUCCCACAACCCCUAUACAGCAAUUAAUUGCCCGGGGGGGGGGGGUCUCGGCGGUUCCCUCACCCUUUGGGGCAAGGCGGCCGCGGCUCGACGGCCGGGGCGCCGCACGGGGAGAAGCCCCCCCGGGGGCCGCACGCCCCCGGCCGCCUGGUCAACCCGUCCCGCUCUGCCUCUGCCCGCAGCCGUCCCGCAGGCGGGCUCCCGCCUGGCCGUCGCCGCCUCGCUGGUGAGCGGAGCCGUCAUCGCGGCGCUGGCCGCCGCCUUCGCCGUCUGCUGCUGGCGGGAGCGGGCGCGGAGGAGCCGAGGCCCGGGGCAGCAGCCCCGCAGGAAGGGCGGACGAUGGGAGCGCGGCCCCUCGGCGGCGGAGAGCGGGAGGAGAGCCCUGGGGAGGCUGAGGCAGCAGCACCACCGCCGCGACUACCGCCUGCCAGCCCUCUGCAGCGCCGUGAGCACGGGGGCACACGCGGGCUGCAGUAACCUGGCCUGCCAAAGGUAGGGAGCAGCCCCACGGGCACUGCCCGCAGCCCCUCGCACCGUGCCGGAGGGGCUGGGGGCAGCAGCAGGUGGAGGUGAAAGCUGCAGCGCCUGGGCAUUCAGUCCCCUACGCCUCCGACCCUCUUACCCCUGGCCUGGACCCCUUAGCAUCCUGAAAUGCCCUCCUUCCCUAAGUCCAUCUCAGCUAACCCAAGGCAGCGCAGCCUUGGUGGGCUGCAGGCUCCCUUGGGUGCUGCGGCUCCACUCACAGCCCUCUCUCCUUCUUGCCUUUGCCAGGAGCUCAGAAAACCUGCCAAAGCUGCCCCUGCAGAGCGCACACCCCGCAGCGCACCUCCUGCCCCCCUGGGCAGCACAGCCCCCCGCAGCACCCCACCGCCUGCUGCUGCCCCUGAGACCUGACUGCAUCGACCUCACGCGGGGCCUGCCCCCCGCCUGCUUCAGAAGCUACGAAGAUCACCAGCUCUUGCACAAGUUUGGGAGGCCCGUCUGAAAAUUUAAACCGUCAGUCAAAUGCCCCCUGCCCCCUUUUUUUUUUUCCUUAAAAGAUCAAUUCCUUGAAGCCCCACAGAGCUCAGAAAGAAUUUGACAAGAGCCAAUUACUGCACCUAGGUUUUCAAAUGGAGAAAAUUGAACACUCCAUGUUGAAAGGCUUUUUUGAUACAAUCCUUUUAUUGUUUCCCCUGUGUCCUGAAGUGCACAUUUCAAAGAAAUGCCUGGGUUACCAGCUUCUUAAUUGAUCAUUUGGGUGAGAUGCAUGAAGCCGAGUUAGAACAGCCCCAGUUUAAGUCAGAGGCUGAGCACGUGCAGAGUUUCAGGUCUUAAACACAAGAGCCUGAUUUGCUGUUUGGGGCUCCUUUAAAGGCUGAAAGUGAACAGCGAGUGCCAGUUACCAGAACAAGGAAUCUAUGUCAUUAGAUAAGUGGAAGCAUUUGCAAUUCAUUGCACUUGAAUGGAGGCUGAGAUUUAAAGUUUUUCCUGUUGUUCAGAACUUGCAACAUCCUCCCAUCGCUGUAGUCAAUCUUGGACUUGCAAGAUGCAAUGACAAGUGGGUAAAGAUAACCAGUCAAGAGGAAAACACGAAUUUGUCCUUAGUACAAAAGACCUAGCACAUUUAAAACAACCUGGGAUUUUUCAUUGCUUUUCUCCUGCAUUAGAGAUUCACAUCACAUGUAUCAUGACCAACAGCAGUGCCUGAAGAGCUAGCAUAAGUACUGUAGUUUGCAUUCAGAAGGCAACAACACCCAUAAUUCUGUCCAGGAUUUCCUGCAUGGAAACUUAGGGGCACAUCCCAGGCAACCACCCACAGAGCCUGGCCAGCAGACCUGGCAUAGAUAACGUGCCUGACACAUGCUGGGCGCACCGGGCUUGAGGAGCACAACCUCACAAGUGCGCAGGGAUGCUCUUCAUAUCUCGGGAGUGACUACUGAAUUAGAGAGGUGCUGGCAGCCCCAGAGCUGCUGGAUGCACAGGGCAGGGAAUAAGAACAAGCACCCAGAACAUGAACCACGAGCAUCGCUACCAUCCAGCACUCAAAGAUAAAACUCAAAAUGUCCUGCUACAAAGGCUGGGAGUUUUAGGCUGCCAACUCAGUUUCCAUCAACUUUUGCUUUACAUUUAAUUAAGGCUUCUUUCCUUGAAAAGAUGCAAGGUAGCACAUUUUUGUGAUAAAUGCAAGACCUACUUGGUAGACCCCCCUGGAAAGACUGCUGCUUCUCCCUGGAAAGAAGGCUAGGGGCACUUUUUCUAUUUGUAGUAAUAAUAAAGGAAUAUCUCCCAAUUCUACUUUUUAUGUC
rnacentral:lncRNA from 1 species